rnacentral:rRNA from 1 species
CAGUCGCCGCGGGAAUACGGAGGGCGCGAGCGUUACCCGGAUUUACUGGGCGUAAAGGGCGUGUAGGCGGCCUUGGGGCGUCCCAUGUGAAAGGCCACGGCUCAACCGUGGAGGAGCGUGGGAUACGCUCAGGCUAGAGGGUGGGAGAGGGUGGUGGAAUUCCCGGAGUAGCGGUGAAAUGCGCAGAUACCGGGAGGAACGCCGAUGGCGAAGGCAGCCACCUGGUCCACUUCUGACGCUGAGGCGCGAAAGCGUGGGGAGCAAACCGGAUUAGAGACCCCCGUAGUCCCUGUCUCUUAUA